UCCGGUGACAAUAGCGAAAGGGACCCACCUGUAUCCAUUCCGAACACAGUAGUUAAGCCUUUCAGCGCAGAUGGUACUUGACUGGUAGCGGUCUGGGAGAGUAUGACGUCGCCGGAU
rnacentral:rRNA from 1 species